UACACUCCUACGGGAGGCAGCAGUGGGGAAUUUUGGACAAUGGGGGCAACCCUGAUCCAGCAAUGCCGCGUGAGUGAAGAAGGCCUUCGGGUUGUAAAGCUCUUUUGUCAGGGAAGAAACGGUGGUGGCGAAUAACUACUACUAAUGACGGUACCUGAAGAAUAAGCACCGGCUAACUACGUGCCAGCAGCCGCGGUAAUACGUAGGGUGCAAGCGUUAAUCGGAAUUACUGGGCGUAAAGCGUGCGCAGGCGGUUGUGUAAGUCAGAUGUGAAAUCCCCGGGCUCAACCUGGGAAUUGCAUUUGAGACUGCACGGCUAGAGUGUGUCAGAGGGGGGUAGAAUUCCACGUGUAGCAGUGAAAUGCGUAGAUAUGUGGAGGAAUACCGAUGGCGAAGGCAGCCCCCUGGGAUAACACUGACGCUCAUGCACGAAAGCGUGGGGAGCAAACAGGAUUAGAAACCCCUGUAGUCCCAUGA
rnacentral:rRNA from 1 species